UAGGGAAUCUUCGGCAAUGGACGAAAGUCUGACCGAGCAACGCCGCGUGAGUGAAGAAGGUUUUCGGAUCGUAAAACUCUGUUGUUAGAGAAGAACAAGGACGUUAGUAACUGAACGUCCCCUGACGGUAUCUAACCAGAAAGCCACGGCUAACUACGUGCCAGCAGCCGCGGUAAUACGCAGGUGGCAAGCGUUGUCCGGAUUUAUUGGGCGUAAAGAGAGCGCAGGCGGUUUCUUAAGUCUGAUGUGAAAGCCCCCGGCUCAACCGGGGAGGGUCAUUGGAAACUGGGAGACUUGAGUGCAGAAGAGGAGAGUGGAAUUCCAUGUGUAGCGGUGAAAUGCGUAGAUAUAUGGAGGAACACCAGUGGCGAAGGCGGCUCUCUGGUAUGUAACUGACGCUGAGGCUCGAAAGCGUGGGGAGCAAACAGG
rnacentral:rRNA from 1 species